AAUGAACGCUGGCGGCAGGCCUAACACAUGCAAGUCGAACGGCAGCACAAGAGAGCUUGCUCUCUGGGUGGCGAGUGGCGGACGGGUGAGGAAUGCAUCGGAAUCUGCCCAUUUGUGGGGGAUAACCUUGGGAAACCGGGACUAAUACCGCAUACGACCUACGGGUGAAAGCAGGGGAUCUUCGGACCUUGCGCAGAUGGAUGAGCCGAUGCCGGAUUAGCUAGUUGGAGGGGUAAAGGCCCACCAAGGCGACGAUCCGUAGCUGGUCUGAGAGGAUGAUCAGCCACACUGGGACUGAGACACGGCCCAGACUCCUACGGGAGGCAGCAGUGGGGAAUAUUGGACAAUGGGCGCAAGCCUGAUCCAGCCAUGCCGCGUGUGUGAAGAAGGCCUUCGGGUUGUAAAGCACUUUUGUUGGGAAAGAAAAGCAGCCGGUUAAUACCCGGUUGUCAUGACGGUACCCAAAGAAUAAGCACCGGCUAACUUCGUG
rnacentral:rRNA from 1 species